rnacentral:rRNA from 1 species
AAUCAACGCUGGCGGCGCGCUUAACACAUGCAAGUCGAGCGAGAAAGGGGAGCAAUCCCUGAGUACAGCGGCGUACGGGUGAGUAACACGUGGGUAAUCUGCCUUUUAGUGGGGAAUAACCCUGGGAAACCGGGGCUAAUACCGCAUAAUCCUGUGAAGGGAAAGCAGCAAUGCGCUGAAAGAGGAGCCCGCGGCCGAUUAGCUAGUUGGUGAGGUAACGGCUCACCAAGGCGGUGAUCGGUAGCCGGCCUGAGAGGGCACACGGCCACACUGGCACUGAAACACGGGCCAGACUCCUACGGGAGGCAGCGGUGGGAAGUCUUGCACAAUGGAGGCAACUCUGAUGCAGCGACGCCGCGUGAGCGAUGAAGCCCCUCGGGGUGUAAAGCUCUUUCGGGCAGGGACGAUAAUGACGGUACCUGAAGAAGAAGCUGCGGCUAACUACGUGCCAGCCGCCGCAGUAAC